UAGGGAAUCUUCGGCAAUGGACGGAAGUCUGACCGAGCAACGCCGCGUGAGUGAAGAAGGUUUUCGGAUCGUAAAGCUCUGUUGUUAGAGAAGAACGUUGGUAGGAGUGGAAAAUCUACCAAGUGACGGUAACUAACCAGAAAGGGACGGCUAACUACGUGCCAGCAGCCGCGGUAAUACGUAGGUCCCGAGCGUUGUCCGGAUUUAUUGGGGGUAAAGCGAGCGCAGGCGGUUCUUUAAGUCUGAAGUUAAAGGCAGUGGCUUAACCAUUGUACGCUUUGGAAACUGGAGGACUUGAGUGCAGAAGGGGAGAGUGGAAUUCCAUGUGUAGCGGUGAAAUGCGUAGAUAUAUGGAGGAACACCGGUGGCGAAAGCGGCUCUCUGGUCUGUAACUGACGCUGAGGCUCGAAAGCGUGGGGAGCAAACAGG
rnacentral:rRNA from 1 species